rnacentral:misc_RNA from 1 species
UUAAGUUCAGCGGGUAUCCCUACCUGAUCCGAGGUCAAACGUAGAAAGUUGGGGGUUGAUGGCCACCGUCACCAGGACUCCGUAGCGAGGAAAUUUACUACGCUCAGAGCCCGAUGGCGCCGCCACUCAUUUUAAGGCCCGCCGGGUUAGCAGCGGAGCCCAAGACCAAGCAGUGCUUGAGGGUUGUAAUGACGCUCGAA